ensembl:snRNA U5 U5 spliceosomal RNA
AUACUCUGGUUUCUCUUCAGGUGACAUAAAUCUUGCCUUUUCCUAAAGAUGUCCACGGAGAGGUACAGAAAUGAGUUUCGACCCAAUUUUUGAGGCCUUGCUUUUAUGAGGC